AGCGCUUGGCUUGGGAGAGCGGAGAGAGCGCAGUCAGAGGCAGGCGUUCGUUCAUCGCGUCCUUACGGUGUCAAGCUCCUUGGGCCAGUUGGAUAUGAGAUGAACUUGAACAAAUUCCUAUAAGAUGUGGUGCAUCCUGGGAGAUUUACAUAGAUUGGAUAAGCUUCAGAACCAAGCAGUGUCAGCUGGUGAUAUUUAUGGUGCCCGGAGAAGAGUAGCAGGGAUACCAGUGUCCAGAGGAGCAUCCUCAAUGAAAUAGAGAGGAAGAUUUUCAUUUUCUUCACGAAAACCUUAAAAUGAUUAUUUUCCAUA